rnacentral:rRNA from 1 species
GAGAGCUUGCUCUCUGAUUCAGCGGCGGACGGGUGAGUAAUGCCUAGGAAUCUGCCUGGUAGUGGGGGACAACGUUUCGAAAGGAACGCUAAUACCGCAUACGUCCUACGGGAGAAAGCAGGGGACCUUCGGGCCUUGCGCUAUCAGAUGAGCCUAGGUCGGAUUAGCUAGUUGGUGAGGUAAUGGCUCACCAAGGCGACGAUCCGUAACUGGUCUGAGAGGAUGAUCAGUCACACUGGAACUGAGACACGGUCCAGACUCCUACGGGAGGCAGCAGUGGGGAAUAUUGGACAAUGGGCGAAAGCCUGAUCCAGCCAUGCCGCGUGUGUGAAGAAGGUCUUCGGAUUGUAAAGCACUUUAAGUUGGGAGGAAGGGUUGUAGAUUAAUACUCUGCAAUUUUGACGUUACCGACAGAAUAAGCACCGGCUAACUCUGUGCCAGCAGCCGCGGUAAUACAGAGGGUGCAAGCGUUAAUCGGAAUUACUGGGCGUAAAGCGCGCGUAGGUGGUUUGUUAAGUUGGAUGUGAAAGCCCCGGGCUCAACCUGGGAACUGCAUUCAAAACUGACAAGCUAGAGUAUGGUAGAGGGUGGUGGAAUUUCCUGUGUAGCGGUGAAAUGCGUAGAUAUAGGAAGGAACACCAGUGGCGAAGGCGACC